rnacentral:rRNA from 1 species
GAAUGCUGACAUAAGUAACGAUAAAGCGGGUGAAAAGCCCGCUCGCCGGAAGACCAAGGGUUCCUGUCCAACGUUAAUCGGGGCAGGGUGAGUCGACCCCUAAGGCGAGGCCGAAAGGCGUAGUCGAUGGGAAACAGGUUAAUAUUCCUGUACUUGGUGUUACUGCGAAGGGGGGACGGAGAAGGCUAUGUUGGCCGGGCGACGGUUGUCCCGGUUUAAGCGUGUAGGCUGGUUUUCCAGGCAAAUCCGGAAAAUCAAGGCUGAGGCGUGAUGACGAGGCACUACGGUGCUGAAGCGACAAAUGCCCUGCUUCCAGGAAAAGCCUCUAAGCAUCAGGUAACAUCAAAUCGUACCCCAAACCGACACAGGUGGUCAGGUAGAGAAUACCAAGGCGCUUGAGAGAACUCGGGUGAAGGAACUAGGCAAAAUGGUGCCGUAACUUCGGGAGAAGGCACGCUGAUAUGUAGGUGAAGCGACUUGCUCGUGGAGCUGAAAUCAGUCGAAGAUACCAGCUGGCUGCAACUGUUUAUUAAAAACACAGCACUGUGCAAACACGAAAGUGGACGUAUACGGUGUGACGCCUGCCCGGUGCCGGAAGGUUAAUUGAUGGGGUUAGCGGUAACGCGAAGCUCUUGAUCGAAGCCCCGGUAAACGGCGGCCGUAACUAUAACGGUCCUAAGGUAGCGAAAUUCCUUGUCGGGUAAGUUCCGACCUGCACGAAUGGCGUAAUGAUGGCCAGGCUGUCUCCACCCGAGACUCAGUGAAAUUGAACUCGCUGUGAAGAUGCAGUGUACCCGCGGCAAGACGGAAAGACCCCGUGAACCUUUACUAUAGCUUGACACUGAACAUUGAGCCUUGAUGUGUAGGAUAGGUGGGAGGCUUUGAAGUGUGGACGCCAGUCUGCAUGGAGCCGACCUUGAAAUACCACCCUUUAAUGUUUGAUGUUCUAACGUGGGCCCCUUACCGGGGUUGCGGACAGUGUCUGGUGGGUAGUUUGACUGGGGCGGUCUCCUCCUAAAGAGUAACGGAGGAGCACGAAGGUUGGCUAAUCCUGGUCGGACAUCAGGAGGUUAGUGCAAUGGCAUAAGCCAGCUUGACUGCGAGCGUGACGGCGCGAGCAGGUGCGAAAGCAGGUCAUAGUGAUCCGGUGGUUCUGAAUGGAAGGGCCAUCGCUCAACGGAUAAAAGGUACUCCGGGGAUAACAGGCUGAUACCGCCCAAGAGUUCAUAUCGACGGCGGUGUUUGGCACCUCGAUGUCGGCUCAUCACAUCCUGGGGCUGAAGUAGGUCCCAAGGGUAUGGCUGUUCGCCAUUUAAAGUGGUACGCGAGCUGGGUUUAGAACGUCGUGAGACAGUUCGGUCCCUAUCUGCCGUGGGCGCUGGAGAACUGAGGGGGGCUGCUCCUAGUACGAGAGGACCGGAGUGGACGCAUCACUGGUGUUCGGGUUGUCAUGCCAAUGGCACUGCCCGGUAGCUAAAUGCGGAAGAGAUAAGUGCUGAAAGCAUCUAAGCACGAAACUUGCCCCGAGAUGAGUUCUCCCUGACUCCUUGAGAGUCCUGAAGGAACGUUGAAGACGACGACGUUGAUAGGCCGGGUGUGUAAGCGCAGCGAUGCGUUGAGCUAACCGGUACUAAUGAAC